UUUCCUCAGCCUUACUCCAGGGGCACUCUGGCUGGUAGUGUGCCUUGGCAUUGCCUGAGGAGAUAUGAAAAUCUUGCUCUGCUCCCUCCCCACUAGGAGCCUCGGUUUCCUUUGGGGCCUACAGUUUUGAGCAAACAUU